UUUGAAAACAUGUUUUGACUAACUUCCAAAAGAUUGAUUUGUUCAAAAAGUGAUUGAUUUUUUCUUUAGAAAAGACUUGUAUAAAAUAAAUUUAGGCUGACUUAGUAGGGAUUUUAACUAAGUCUAAACAAAACUAAUAAAUAAAUAAACACAUAAAAGGGGAAAGGGAGGAGAAAGUAAAGAUUUAGGCCAUUGGGCCCAAAUCAACGAAACCUGUCCUAAUCUAGAUAGGAAAAAAUACAUAACGCAGCAUACUUAAGUAUUAAAUUACAAAAAAUAACAACACUUUUUUCAAAUUAUAUUUUGUAGCAUAUGUAUUUGUAUGUAUUUGUAUUUUUGUAGCAACAAUUUGUAAAAAUACAAAAUACAUAUUGAUCAUAAGGGCAGUAAAAAUCAUAUGUAUUUGUAUUUUUGUAGCAAUAGUUUGCAAAAAUACAAAAUACAACUUGUUAUAUUAUGUAAUUAUGAAACUAUUGCUAUGAAACUCAUAAUUAAGGGGAUAAGUAUGUUAUUUCUGAAUUUUGCCCAUCUAUAUAUUGGGACCUUGGCCCAUAACCUGUCCUAGUCUAAUUUUUGAACCUUUGGCUCGAGUUUCACUUUACCUGUAUUAAAUACAACUUUGGCUUCGAGGCCCAAAUGAGUGAAUAAAUAAAUAAAAUAAAUAACAACAACAAUAAAAAUGAAUAAAUAAAUAAAUGAAACUUUCAAGUCUCUUAGCCGCUUCGAGGAUGAGACUUUAACCCAUUUUCCUUCUUUUGACUCCUUGCAUCUGUAUUUAAUUUGACUUUAGGCUUUUUUCGGCUUGACUCAGAAAGUAGGCCUUAUUGUCCCAUUAUGAAUAUGCAAAAAGGGAAGAGUCCGUGUGGGACUCGAAUGAUGUCCAUGCAUAGAAAAAAUAAAUAAAGUAAACAUUAAUACAUAAUCGAUAGAGUAAAAGAAGUCAACCUAUGAUCAAACUAAAUAGGAAAACUAAAAUAGCUAAUACAUGAUCAACCAAGGAGGAACGAAAACGUAAAGAAAAUUUGUUCAUAUUAACUACAUAAGUAAAGAAACAAGGAUCCAAACAAAUAAUUGAAAAAAAAUGGAGAUAAUAAGACACACAUAUCAACUCAAAAAAUAGGCGCAAUCAAGGUAGGAGAAUUAAAGUAACUAACGUGGGAUCAACAUAAUGAAGGAAGAGGAUACAUGGAACCCAAUACCUAAUCAACUGAGAAAAUAACAUGACAUGGAUAUUUAAUAAUUAAAAAUCAAUUAGUGAAUAACGAGAUAUGCUCGUAAGGGCAAAACAAUAACAUGGAGGAGUGGCAGGUAUUCAAGUAGUAACGGAAAUAGAAAUUGAAUUAAUUUCUAGACUAAAAUUUAAGAAGACAUUAGCGGGGCUAGAGGGACAUUUUCUGGGACUCUGAGAGGCAACCUUUGAGAAAGAAUUCUCAGACUUUAUUUGUAAGAAAAAUUAAGUAGCAACAACUACUGAACGACCAAAGCUUUUCUUUUUGGACUUCAAAUGAUAUAAAGAUCAAUCGCGUCAUUGUGUUAGCGAAGUCAUUACUUCACAAAAAAAAAGAAGGGAAAAAAACCUUUCGGGAUGUAAAUCUCACCGUAAUGAACUCUUUUCGGUAUGUGAAGUUAUAGGGUUAUUAUUGCAUGAUAAUCGAACAAAACAAGCAAGGGCAGGAAAACACUUGAUGAUCCCGAAUGCUCCAAAGGGAAGAUUGGCAGUAGACCCUCGAAGAUGGAAGUAGACAACCGUGAUACUCUACUCCACAUUUCGACCUAGCUUUCGAGAGUAAAAUGGAUAUGACUUCAUCCCUCCUUUCUUGACCAAGAAAAUCAUCGGGAAUCUUUAAUCUUAACACAAAUUACAUACAUAGUGCAACAACAAAAUUGAAAUAUCCUUUUCGAACAAGCAUAGUUCAACAGGGCAAUAUCGCAUUUACCAUUCUAACAAAAACCCAAACUGGACAAAAAUCCAAAAGAAAAACGAAAAUCAAAUUUCAAUUUUUUGAUACCAAAAUAGGCGCAACUGACAAAUUAAAGAAAGGGGAGUGGCAGGGGAUAUUAUUCUCAUCCUCACCCUCUUUCUGAUAGACUCAAAUAAAAUGACCAUCGAGAGAUAGUCCUACUAGCGACAUUGCGACACCGUCUACAAAUGAUAACAUAUAAGAUAACGUCAAAAAACAUCUACGAUUAAGACCUCAUCAGGAUGGAAACCAUUAAGCAAGAAUCAAAACAUAGACCUUAACCAUGAAAAUAGUGACCCAACCCAAAAACAGCAACAAUGAAAAAAAUGACCUGAACUACAAACAGUGCACCAGAUGAGGACCUAGAUAAAAAAUUACUCGAUAUUGUCAAGAUUACAUGACCAACUAAAAAAUCGAGACAAUGAUGACAGAAAACCACAUAUUAUAAUAGGAAAUAACCCUAACAAAACAAAACUAAGUAUCCUUCUUCACUAAAGAGAAACCUAUGACCUAUAAAGCCUUUACAGCAAACAACCCAGCACACCACAUCACUAAAAGAAACCUACAACUUCAAAAGGUUAGGAUAUAGAAGAAAUAGUCGAAAGCUUAAAUGGAAUGUGAUAUUACCUAUUCAGGAGCAGCAAAAUAGAAUCUCAAACUUUUUGGAAUCGAUCGCCUCCAAAAUACGUUGUCCUCGAUUCAGAAAUUUCAAUUUCCUACCAAAUUUUGGAGAAAAAAAAAGAAGAAAAAUAGAAAAAAUUUGCAUAAAUUUCUACUAAAAGAAGACUGUAUCUGCUUUUCUUUUGCUCGAAGGCUCCCCUUUUUUGUAUUUGAGAUUUUCUCUCUUGUAAUUUUUGCUUCUCACCUCCAAAAAAUUCCCAACCCUGAAAAUUGCUCCACGUUGAGCUAUUUAUAGAAAGGUGUAUGGGUGUAAUUUAGGGAUUUCUAAAAUAGGAAAUUUUGAAAUUCAAAAGGAAGGCGCCCCUUUUUUGUAUUUGAGAUUUUCUCUCUUGUAAUUUUUGCUUCUCACCUCCAAAAAAUUCCCAACCCUGAAAAUUGCUCCACGUUGAGCUAUUUAUAGAAAGGUGUAUGGGUGUAAUUUAGGGAUUUCUAAAAUAGGAAAUUUUGAAAUUCAAAAGUCAAAUCCCUCCUCCGCUUCGGUUUACAUCCACGAUGUCUAUGAAUUUUUUUAAUUCUUUGGCAAAAAUUGAAAAUGUUUGACCAAUAAAAUUUGGGAAAAACAAAUUGUCCUAAAAAACCGAAUGAGAUUCAUUCAAAUAUGUACGAAAUCGUACCAUUUCAUCUGAGAAUCGCGAAUUCAAACCGUUGGGGAGACAACUCAUCAAAUUCUAGAAAUUUCUUGGCUUUUCUCGUAUGAAUUCGAGUGGGACGGGUGGAGAGGAUUAGAAUGGGUCAAUUGCGGGUUGUGCUGGGUCGGGUCACCGUUGAAGCCGGAGUAUUGCUUGUUGGAUUGUCUUCAUUGGUGUCUUAUCAGGUUGAAACCAUUGUGGGUAUUUCUGAUAAUGUUGUUUCUACUAACGGGUAAAAGGAGAAAAGAAGUUUGGUGGGCUGGGUUUUAAUUUGGAUUGGUAGGUUGGCUCUGGCUGGAAUAAGGUUGAUGGGCUGGUGUAGCAUUGGGCCUGUGGUGCUGUUGUUUACUGAAGGAGAAAGGAUAGAGGAGAAAUGGGCCGACAGUUUGGCCUGUCUUGGGUUAAUGUUGAAGUGGUGUCAAAUUGAGUUUUAAUUGGGGUUAUUUAAUAACCCAAAUUAGAUUUAAUUGGGGUUAAAAUAACUCCAAUUAGAUUUAAUUGGGUUAAAAUUUCCCUAAUUAAAUUAGGUAUGUGGUAAUUUUCAAAAUUAUUUUAGAAGAAAGAAAAAAAUAAUCUCAAUAAAAAUAUCAUUUCAAUUAAGAUUUAGCCUAUUCUAUUUAAAUUUUGACCAAAUUAAAAGUCGAUUGGCCAAUUGCAUUGUAAUUGUGGCAAAAUUAGUUUCAAUUAUGAUCAAAUUUAAUAGAUUGGUUAAAUUAAAUUGAAAUUCGAUAUGAAUUAAUUGUUCCUCUAAUCCCUAGCUUCUUGAUUUAAUAAAAUCAAAUGCAUAUUUAUCCAAAUAAAUUAUUUUGAUAAUAACUUAUAUUAAAAUCAAGAUUUUAAUCAUUAUAUUUAUUUUCAAAAUAAUCCUUAAUUAAAAUCCAAUAUUCCAUAGAAUAAAUAUUUAAGUAAUCAAAUUAUAUGAUCUAGUAUAACUGAACAUGAUAAUAUAGAAUCAUUACUUAAAAUGAAAAAAUUACGUAUAAAAAUAGUUUAAAAACUUUUUUAUUUGGAUGAAAUAAAUAUUUCAAUUUUAUUUAAAACCGAAGAAACUCAGGAUUAAAUUUAGUCGUAGAGGGCAAAUAUUAGGUGUCAACAACUGUCCCUCCCUUUGGGUAGGGUGGAUGCAAGUAACCUGGGAAAAGGGAGGUUGACGUUCCUAACUUUUGUCCAACCACAAAUUCGAAUUUAAAAGAGGUUAGCUUUUCCACGAGUUUUAUAGAGUUAUGAUCGGACUUUGGUAUCAGGUUUCUUACAUAUCUUAGGUUACAUGAUAAUUCAGGCCACUUGUAGUUCACAAAGCUUGAUUUAAAGCAUAAUUUUCGAAAACUUCACCAACUAUCUCAAUUUUUGGAGUUUUUGACGAAACUGACAAGCUAGGAAAUAGAGGUAUUUACGGGGAGAUUAGAAUGAAGUCCAAUUUUGUACAUAGAGCCCAGCCUACAUAUCCCCGAGACUCAGGGAAUCAAACUGCUUGUAGUUCAACUUAAUUGGUAGAAAAGACAGUCUUUUAUUUUAGAUGAUCUUUGGCUCGGGAUGAGUGACAAGUUGAUCGAGUUGCAGAAUAAUGGCUUGUAACCUCUUAACCAUGAAUGUGGGAUCCUUCACAUCCAUAGGUAAGAAUUUAUCCUCUCAUAUUCUCUCGACAAUAUUUCAAACAAAAGUUAGUGCUAAACAUAAUUCACAAAAGAGGUAUAUAGUCUUUACCAUAUAUCCACGUGAGUCGUUGCCUGAAAAGUGAAGUCCUUCCUUUCAUAUACCUAUUUGGAAGGAAAUAACUUGAAACAAUAGACAAAAAAACCCUCCUAGUUGUUGCAUAAUUAUCUUAUUUGUUAAUUAAAUAUGUUUUCAAAGUGGGAUGAUACUUUUGGACACUGAUGACACUUUAUGCAGAACGCUCCCUACAACCGUGUAAUAUUACGCUGAGGUGAACCAUUUUGGUUGCCUAUGAUAACCUUUCUAGUUAUUGACAAUAAUCUUCUUAUGUGACCUCGGUUAAGUCCUAAGCAUCUUUUGUAUCGAUACGACUUAUAGAUUCCCCUUGAAAUAUCGAUAUUUGGAUAAUCUUGCGUAUUAUUUGAUGUUGGAUACGACACGACUUAUAGAUAUCCUUUGAAUUGAUAACCUUUAGGUAAUACUUCACAUUAUCCAACCUUGGAUAAGAGAUGGAUUAUAGAUAUCUCUCCAACUGAUAGUCAUCAGGUAUUCCUGAACAUCAUCUGACCUUGGAUACAAUAUGACUUAUAUAUAUGUUUUAAAUUUCUAGUCUUUGAGUAAUCCUGCACAUGAUUGAUCUUGGAUAUGAUGGACCUUGUAUAGAACCCUUGAACUUAUCAAUUUGAUGAUAUUGUAUAUUUUCGGUAAGGAUUUAGGUGCGACUUAUGAAUAACCUUUGAAUUAUCAAUUUUUGGGUAACCUUGCACACUAUCCGGUUAUGAUGUUGUGGCGGCUUACGAAUGACCUAUGGGCUAUCAAUUCAUAGGUAAUCUUGCACACUAUCCUAUUUCAAAUAAUAUGACUUAGAUGACCCUCAAAUUGUUAAUUUCUAAGAAGUCUCAUAUGUCAUUUGCUUUCAGAUAGCGACUUAAUGACGUCCCUUUGAAUCACAUGCUUUUGAUGCAUUCAUAUGCCAAUUCAUAAAAUAAUGAGAUAUUCUCAAUGUUAGUGCGUGCAAUCUCACGUGUUAACAGAUAUUAGAUGCUAAUGAUAUCCUCGAUGCCAAUAUUUGUGUCUCGCAUGUCAACAGAUAUUAAAUGCUGAUGAUAUCCUCGAUGCCAGUGUAUGCUAUCUCGCGUGUCAACAGAUAUUGAAUACUGAUAAUAUCCUCGAUGCUAGCGUGUGAUAUCUCGCGUGUCAACAGAUAUUAGAUGACCCUCGUGGCGAUGGUAUGAAAUGGCCCUCUUGGAAAUGAUAUGAAAUGACCCUUUUAGCAAUGAUAUAAAAUGACCCUCUUGACAAUGGCAUGAAAUGACCUUCUUGGCAAUGAUAUGAAAUGGACCUCCUGUCAAAGAUAUAAAAUGACCCUCUUUCCAAUAAUAUGGAAUGGUCCUUUUGACUAUGAUAUGAAAUGACCCUCCUGGCAAUGGCAUAAAAUGGCCCUCUUCACAAUGAUAUGAAUAGGCCCUCUUGGCAAUGAUAUGCAAUGGCCCUCUUGGCAAUGACAUGAAACGGUCCUCUUGGCAAUGGCAUAAAAUGGCCUUCUUGUCAAUGAUAUAAAAUGACCCUCUUGAAAAUGAUAUGAAAUGGCCCUCUUGACAAUGAUAUGAAAUGGAACUCUUGGCAAUUGCAUGAAAUAACCCUCUUGGCAAAUAUAUGAAAUGGCCCUCUUGGAAAUUGUAUGAAAUGGCCCUCUUGGUAAUGAUAUUAAAUGGACCUUUUGGAAAUAAUAUACAAUGCCCCUCUUGUCAAUGACAUGAAAUAGCCCUCUUGGCAAUGGAAUGAAAUGGCCCUCUUGGCAAAGAUAUGAAACGACCCCCUUUGCAAUGAUAUAAAAUGAGAUGUCUCUCUCUACAAUGACAUAAAAUGGCCCUCUGGGAAAAUGAGAUGAUAUGAAAUAUUUUUUUUGGUGAUUUGAAAAUAGUUUCACCUGAAUUCAUUUGUUUGUUUUUUGCUUUCUACAUGUACCUGUACUCAAGGUAUACAGUUACAUGACGAAUAAAUUCAUCUUGAUUCCCUCCAAGAUUAAUUUUGAAGAUGACUUUCUGCUCUUCCUCUCAUUGAGUGAUCCUUUUGAUUGUUGUAUUUAUUGUGUCGACUCCCUUGAAUGUUCGUACACUAAAGGUAAAUAUUUAGUAGAUACAAAGUCAUUUUUUAUAGCGACUAUUUUUUAGGAAAAUUCUAAAUACAAUAUUCAUAAAGAAGAUGGGGCACCUUUGUUUGUCCUUCAUGAUCUCAAGAAAUGAGAUAGCCAAUUCAAAAGGUCCUUAGUAAAUGGGUAUGAAACUUAUUUUUGGGGCUACCCAAAAAUACCGUUCUUGAGCAUUAUAUGCUCUAGUGUGGCUCGCAAAUCACUUGGGGAUAUUUUGAAGAAGAUUCCAUUAUGUGUACUUAUCCCUGCAUCCACACAAAAUUGAUUAGUUUUGAGUGAUACUACUCCGUGUUGACCUCCUUCGAUCAUUGGUUUGCUCUUCGUCAUCUUUUAGGUUCUUCGUCAUGUUGGUAUCUCCACCCCGACUCCCUGUUCCAAUCGACGCCUAGGCAAUCACUAAGUAAAAGAUUUGUAUAGAUUUUUAAAAGUAGUCUUAAUUUUAGAAAAUAGUGUUGAAAGUUUCUGUAAAAGCUUAAGAAAAUCUCUGCCAGUCAUGUCAUGUACUAGCUAAGCGAAUGUCUUCUUCUUGGUUUUGACUAUAUCCGAUGGAGGAUUUCCAAAACUCAUUAUCAUUGUUGGAAGGUUCUUCAAACAAUUCUAUCAUAGCCGGAGAUUGAGUCUACCUAGACUUUGUCACAGCUGGUGUCUUCAAAAGUUUGACUUUGGCCCGAUGAUGCUGGAGAAUUUGAAAUAUAUUCCAGUGUUUGGUGGAAAUUUUGAGGCCUUCCUCAAAUUUCUGCUCCAGUUUAAAGUUGUUUGAGAUGAUUUAACUCAAGAGGAUUCAAAAUCUUUGUUGGUCUUCGCUCUAUUUGUUGGAUGAUGAUCUUCCUCUUGUGAAUUUUUGAGAUUCCUUCUCGAAAAUUCUGCCCCAGUUUUUAUUUCCUGGGGUUACCUGACCAAGACAUUGGGGCUCCUACAUAUCCCGUUGAAGCAGGAAUCAGGUCAAACAUAGUUCAGGACUACACUAAGGAUAUAAAAUUUUAAUGGGUUGACCAAAGCCGACAUAGGCCGCCUACAUAUCUCAUUCUUGAGAAUUUAGGUCAUCACGUAGUUCAUACAUAAAAGAAAAGGAUAAAUUAUUCUAAGGGGUUUACCAAAACCGACAUAGGCACCUACGUAUCCCUUUCUUGGGAAUUCAGGCCAAACAUAGUUCGUACAUAAAAGAAAGGGAUUCUAGGAUAUUACACAUCAUAAAAUAGAUACUAUCAUAAAUGCGAUUACAAACAAAGGAAAUAAAAUUUUAAACAUCUUUCUAAUAUUGUAUCUCUUUACGCACCAGGACGGACGGUUGGUUGAAAUGGGCGAUAGCUUCACUCUCGCACCCGCAUUAUCUGAGAAAAGCUAAGAUCAACUUGCUAAUUCGUCAUAUCUUUUGAAAAAGGGACCUGUAGAAAAAGAUUUGACGUGAAGGAGGAAGAAGGAAGGGCUGCACUACUAACGUAAAUACUACCGCGAACAAACUCGCAAUGGCAUCUAAGUGCGGUCAUUAGUAAUAAAAUAAGCACGCUUCUUCCGAAUGAAGAAUUCAACAAAUCAUUAUUCUAUAUUAUUAUUAUUAUUAUUUUUUGAAUUCUUCAGAGUUGGAUUUCCUGCAAUAGAAAGAUCGGGAACAUGGGAGUUGUUGGGCGUAAAAGUGGCUUUCUUCUCUAACAAUAUUUAUAGUCGGGACCGCAUCAGAAUUAAUUGGUUUGGUCCACUCUUGGCCAUCUAUCUCAGAUAUAUUCAGUGCUCCUUCGAACAACACCUUGCAAACUAUGUAUGGUCCUUGCCAAUUCGGAGCAAACCUAACCUUGUACCCUUCUUGGUGAGGGAAUAUAUGUUUCAGAACCAAUUUUCCAAAUUCGAAUAUUUGAGUUCUUACCUUUUUGUUGAAGGCACGAAUCAUCCUGUGCUGAUAUAACUGACCAUAAUAUACAACAACCGUUCUCUUUUCGAUAAUCAACCUGAGUUGUUAAUAGCUAGCGUGAACCCAUUCUUCGUUACUUAGUCCGUCUUCUUGAAUAAUCAUUAAGGAAGGUAUCUCAACCUCAGCCGGUAUCACAACUUUAUUCCCAUAAAAAGUAUAUAAAGAGUUUCCCCAAUGAAGGUUCAAACUGUCAUCCGAUACCCUAGCAAAGAGUAAGACAACAUCUUAUGGCAUAAUCUAUCAUUUUUUACCAUCUUCCUUAAGAUCUUCUUGAUGUUCUUAUUGGCGGCUUCCACGGCUCCAUUAACCUGUGGGUGAUAUGCCGUUGAGUUGUGAUGAACAAAUUUAAAUUGAUCACAAAUCACAUUCAUCAAAUGACUGUUCAAGUUUUCGUUGUUAUCAGUAAUGAUCAAUUUUGGCACCCAAAUCAACAAAUCAAGUUAUUCUUGACAAAAUCUGCAACCACUUUCUUAGUAACGACUCUAUAUGAAACAACUUCGACCACUUAGUAAAGUAAUCAAUAGCAACCAAAAUAAAUCUAUGCCCGUUUGACACCGGUGGCUUUAUUGGCCCGAUAACAUCCAUACCCCAAGUUACGAAUGGACAAGGUGAACUCAUCGCAUAAAGCUCAUGUAGAGGCAUUCAGAUUAGAUCUCUGUGUAUCUGACAUUUUGGGCACUUCUACACACACUUACUACAAUUAUUUCCAUAGUCAUCCAAAAGGAACCAGUUCUCAAGAUCUUUCUUGCAAGGGCAAACCUGCUUAUGUAGGGCUUACAAAAUCCAGCGUGUACUUUCUUUAUUAAUUUAUUGGCUUCCGCAGCAUCGACACAUCCUAAGAAUCCUAAGUCUUGAGUUUUCCUACAAAGGAUUUCGCCACUUGGAAAAUAAUUCUUUACCAAAUGCAGAAUUGUCUUCUUCUGAUUGUUGCUGGCCUAUUCAGGAUAUAUUCUAGAUUCUAAAUACCUUUUAAUAUCAUAGUACUAUGUCUUUCCAUUGAGCUCAUCCUCGACGUGUGCACAAUGCGCGGGUUGCUCCUUCAAGUUUUUUUCCAAAGGAUCAAUGUAAGUUUGAUCAGGGUGUUGAAUCAUGAAGGAUAUAGUGGACAAAAUGUUAGCAAACUCAUUCUGUAUCCUUGUGAUAUUAUUGAAAUCAACUUCCUUGAAUCUUCCACAUAAUUCCUGCAUCAUCUCUAUUUAAGGAGUAUUCUUGAAGUUCUUUACUUUCCAUUCUCCCCGUACCUGGUAAGUCAGAAAAUCUGAUUCUCCGAUGACUAGCAUUUCACAAACACCCAUAUCAAGUGCCAAUUUAAGACCUAAUAUGCAAGCCUCCUAUUCAUCCAUGUUAUUGGUGCAUGCGUAACUUGGUAGUUUCAGGAUAAUGUUGGCCUAUUCUAGACACUAAAACUAUUUUGAUUCCUAAACAUUUGAAGUUCACCACUCCAUCAAAGAACAGCCUCCAUCCGAGGUAAAUUUCUGCAAUGUCUUCUCACAUAAAUAAAAUCUCCUGAUCUGGAAAGUAAGUUUGAAGUGGAUCAUAUUCAUUAUCAACUGAAUUCUUUGCUAAAUGAUUUGCUAAGGCCUUUCCCUUGAUUGCCUUUUGAGUCACAUACACUAUGUCGAACUCACUCAGCAACAUUUACCACUUAGCUAAGUUUCCUGUAGGCAUGGCUUUAUGGAAUAUAUACUCUAAUGUAUCCAUUCUCGAAAUGAGAUAUAUUGUGUAUGAGGAUAGAUAAUGCCUUAACUUUUGUGCAGCCCAGGUUAGAGAACAACAUGUCCUUUCUAUGAGAGUAUAGCGAGCCUUAUACGACGUAAACUUUUUACUCAAGUAGUAAAUGGCUUUCUAUUUCUUACCGCUCUGAUCAUGUUUCUCGAGCACACACCCAAAAGCAUUUUCUGAGACUGAUAGGUAAAGCAACAACAAACUUCCUUUCCUUGGUGGCACCAAAAUCAGCGGUGCGGACAAAUAUUCCUUGAUUCGGUCAAAAGUCUUCUGACAUUCUUCCGUCCACUUAUGCCAUGCAUCUUUCUUCAACAUCUUAAGAAUUGUCUUGCAUAUGAUUGUUGACUGGGCAAUGAAUCUGCUAAUGUAAUUUAAAUGACCCAUAAAACUCAUAACCUCUUUCUUCCUCCUCGGCGGUAGAAGAUAUUGAAUUGUCUUAAUCUUGGACAAGUGAUGUUGGGUGAAUUUAUGCAUUCUAGCGCUACUAUUCUAGCUUAUUCAGCCUUGUUUUGAGGAUGAUUAUUAUGUUAUAUGUGUUAAUAAUGAUAUAAAUGAUCAAUUAUGUGUUCACAAUGUUUAAUGGUGUUUCCAUACAAGUUUUUAUUCAAUUCGACCAUUUAGAGUUCAACCGAGAAAACUAGUGUGACUAGCUUGAGCUAGGUGUUUUUCUAGUCUAUUGUGUUGAGUUCUAGUGUGUUUUAAUGAUUUAUUAUGGUUUUUAUUAUGUGUUUAUAUGUUAAACAACUUAGUUAUAAUGUUCAAGGGUCAAUUGGAUCAAUAAAAGAGUGAAAACAAUGAGUUAAAGCUCAAUGUGAAUUUAGCCUAUGCUUAGCUUGUGUUUCUAGUUCAUCGGUGAGGAUGUUGUGCUGUUUUGAGUUCUUAAUUGAUGUGUUUAAUGAUUUAAGAUGAUUGGUGAAUGGAUUAUGAUGAUAUAUUAAGGAUAUACAAGCUUCAAAUCAAGUGUAAACAACUCAAGAAGGCUCGGAAUGCUCAACAAAAGCACAAAAUGCAAGUUGGACCCCUGAAAAGUAUUGGGCAAGAGUCGAAUGUACAGGUAGAAAACGGAGGAUUUAAAAUUACCACUAGAUUCAGAAGAGUACCAAUAUUUUGUAAAUAUGGUGUGUGUAGAUUAAUUUGGAGUUUAAGGAGGCCCCGUGACGCGUUGACUUCUUGAACAGCUACUGGAAUUUGACAAUUUUUUUGACAAUUGUUAAUUUGCAUGUCUCCGCAUCGCACUGAUGUCCAAAAUCAGGAUAACACUACCCAGCUAAAGUAAAAUAGCAUUUAAACCCAAUCUAAGUAAGUUUAUGACUUGUAUACUAUACAUAUAACAUCCCAAACUCCGUUUUAAUCAUCUUGGGACCUCUUGGAAACCCUAGAUCAACACGGACCAUCUUGAACUUAUUCCAAAGAGCAGUUUACUUCUUUUGGGAUCUGAGCUUGUAAUUCAAUUUUCAAUCCUUUUAUUUAGUUGUGGGAAAUUCUUAUUUUACUUGGAGGAGAAUCAACUUUGGAUUUCACCUUUUGUAAGUUUAUUUGCUUUCAAUUAUGAAUUCAAUCAUUGUUAUCUCUUUCUAUCUUAUGAGCAACUAAAACCCCCAACUAGGGUUGUCGGAUAUAUGACUAUUCCUUCAUUGAUUUAGUAGUUGUUUAGAGUUCGAGUGAUUGUGGGAACAUCUUGAUAAUUCUGUUGUAAUGUUUGAUUUCUAUUGGGUUGCAAACAAUAGAUCCCGCCUUAUGUUGAUUUACUCAAACUGAGAAAUAAAAAAAAGGUAGUGAAUUAUCAACUAGGAUUUGGGAAGGCUAAGCUCCCAUCUAUUGAUUAAUGCUGUAACAAGAUUGAUCAAUUUGAGGUAAAAUCAGUAUGAAUAGUAGGUUUCCUAAGUUCGAGAGAAUUAGGAAUCCAAACAUCUAGGUAGGUUGAGAACAACUUAGAUGAACUGUCGAAAUUGAUAAUUUGGUGUUUCCCACAAGUCACGAGAAUCCAAUACUACAACUAUUAAUCAAUGAGGGAUUAAUAAUCAUAGUGAUCACAACUCUAGUUUCUUUAUCUCAUUGAUUUGAAAUAUUGAAAUUUUAGUUUUGGGUUUCUAAAGCAAGUUGAGAAAUUAAAUAAUUGAACACCCCCAGUUUGUCUUUCCGUGUCAGUUGUUUGAAUUUAAAUUGUAGUUAUAGUUUCAAAUUAGUUUAAUCGCCACUCACAUUAUUCCCUGUGGAUUUGACCCCGACUCCAAAGUUGGGUAAAUAUAUUGACGACGAUCGACUUGCACUAAAUAGACGUGUAAGUGUAGGGUUAUCAACGAGUCUAGCUUGAUGCCCCUUCUGCUGACUAUGAUCCUUAGUAAUUUCUCAACUAGCACACCGAAAGCACACCUAGCAGGAUUCAGCUUCAAAUUGUAGUUUUUUAAUCUGUUGAAUAAUUUUUCCAGGUGGGUCAGAUGAUCCAAACUCUCACGGGAUUUGAUAAUUACAUCAUCCACGUACACUUCAAUCUUUUUAUGAAUCAAAUCAUGAAAAAUCUUUGUCAUAGCCCUCAUAUAUAUUGCACCCGCAUUCUUAAGACCAAACGGCAUUAUCCUAUAAUGAUAAACACCCCAGGGCGCGAUGAAAGUUGUCUUUUAUGUAUCUUUCUCGUCCAUUAAUAUUUGAUUAUACCCAGCAAAACAAUCCAUUAAAGAUUUCAUUUCACACUUUGCACAAUUAUCGAUGAGGAUGUGGAUGUUGGGUAGCGGAAAAUUAUCUUUCGGACUGGCUCUAUUCAAAUCUCUAUAGUCAACACAAAUUCAAAUCUUGACAUCCUUCUUCGGUACUAGGACGAUAUUGGCUAGACAUGUCGGAUAUUUUGUGACCUCGACAACCUUAUACUGAAUUUGCUUCUUCAUUUCUUCCUUGAUUUUCAGACUUAAAUCCGGCUUGAAUUUCCAUAUUUUUUGCUUGACCAGAUCAAACUUAAGAUUUAUCGAUAACUUAUGCGACACAAUGUUAGUGCUCAAUACCGUCAUAUCAUCGUAGGACCAAGCAAACAUGUCAAUGAACUUCUGCAACAAGUGAACGAGUUCUCUUUUUUGUGCUUCUGCUAAGUGAACACUAACACUUGUUUCUUUGAUUUCAUCAUGAUCUCCCAGGUUGAUUGUUUCAGUUUUCUCUAGGUUGGGCUUCUCUUGAUUCUCAAAUUCUUCUAUAUCUUCUACUAACCGCUCCUCGUCGCCUUCUUUCCAAUCAUCAUCAUUCCCCUCAGUUUGUUCAUUUGAGCUUUGGCAUGACAUAAUAUUGGUAGGUUUUAAGUUACUAUUAUUGUAAUAAACAAACAAACCAAGUUUGAUGAUAACAUGCUAAUAAAAAAUAUUAAUAUAAUCAUGUUUCAAAAUAACUUUUUAAAUAAAGGGAGGCUUUUUCAUUGAAAUUUAAGAAAUAAGUACAAACUAUGGCUUAUAACCCAUGCAAAUACGGGCCCAUGCCUUUUUUAAAGUAGUAAAAUAUGAAAAGGAAGUUUGAGACAUAAAAUGGUUGAUCACGAGGCCUUCUCCAGAUCAUCAUCGAUUUUUAAAACUACUAGUAAUUGCCCUUUCAUCUACCAUAAUGGGUGACGGGUUAUGAGUGGAGUGAAGGUCCAGUUUUGCAAAGCUUCUCCCUUUGCAACCCUCUUUACCCCAUUGAACUUUGGAAAAUCUUCUAGUGCUGCAUUGCAUCCCUCGAACAUACUUCCUAUCCCAUCCCUAAGACCAUCGUCAUUUGAGGAUAUGUCUUGUAUAGGAGCGGCAUGGGCCUAGGCAUACUCAUCUUUGACGUAUCCUUAAUCUCAUCCUCCUUUGUUGGUUUGUAUCCUAACCCAUACUUGAAUGCUUUAUAUGGACCAUAAUGGGCUCAAUAAUUCCCUACAGAUUCUUACCCAAGACCCGACCAGGCUCGGACCCAUUUCUUAGCAUCACAGUCGCAAUUAUUUUGUAGACAAAAGGCAUUGGAGCUUUGGGCGUUAGAUCUUUCUCCACAGCACUUACAAUUUUCACAACAUAAAACUACUACCUUUUGAGAUAUCUUUAAUUACCAGCACACAACCAUUGGGAUGAUUUGCAUGGCUUCCUUCCCCUUGAAUAACUAUUUCAUAAUACUUCCAAAUAAACUUCAAUAACUGAUGAAGGGUUGAUGAAACUGCCUUUGCACCAUGGAUCCAUGGUCUUCCCAAGAUCCGGUUGUAACUAGGAUGGAUAUCCAUAACAUGAAAUUUAUCCUUGAAUUUUGCAAGUCCCAUCUAUAUGUACAAAUUAAUUUCACCUAUGGUAUAUCUCUGCCCUCCAUCAAACGCCCACAUAUUUAUGUGGCUUUGGCGAAUUUUUCCCAAAUCAUAGCCCAUUUGAACCAAUGUGGAAAGAGGAAAAAUGUUCAAACCAGAUUCAUCAUCUAUCAAUACCCGAUUAAUCACAUAAUCUGGACAAAUAACAGUGACGUGUAAGUCUUUAUUAUGCAUCACUCCCUCAAAUGAUAACUUUUUCUCACUAAAGGAUAAGCGAUGACUUCCCACAAUAUUUCCUAUCAUCACAUCCAUAUUCUCAACACUCAUUCCUAUGGGAACAUACGCGUCAUCUAAGACCUUCAAUAAAGCUUAUUGGUGGUAUUGGGAACUCAUUAAAAGUGCCAAAAUAGAAAUCUGGGCUGGAGUCUUUUCCAAGUUCUUGAAAAAUCAGUAGUGUUUUGGUUGCAUACACCUCCAAAAUUCCUCGGCCUCCCCUUUAGUGAUUGUCAUUUUCUAUGAAUCCUUCCUAUUGGUUAAAUCUCUAGGGAUGUAGUAUCGCCCAGAUCGCCUCAUCCCUUGGGUAGUGACGGUCUCUACAAUAAAUUCCUUCCUAGGUGGAGGAGUGUACACCUGAGUCAGGCCUAUCAUUACUAUAAAUGGGGGAUUCUCAUUGACUCUUCAGGAAGCUACGACUCUCUCUAUCUUCUCCACCUCUUCCAUCCUUUUGAACUUUUCUGAAUUCACCUUAGUGAUGGUCUUGCUAGACGCCCAUUCGCCCUUUAUUUUAAUCAUGUUAACUGCAGGUCCCCCUUGAUUAGGCAAUGGAUUACUGUUGACAUUUAGUGCUGGCGAUUGAAGCUUGAUGACCUUCUAAUCAAUCAAAUCUUGGAUCUUGUGUUUUAAGUUAAUACAAUCCUCGGUACUCUGCCCCUCCACUCCCAAAUUACAGGCACAAUUUUGAUUCGCACAAUAAAAUUGAGAAUUUGGAUUGAUAAAUUUUGGUUGAAUAGGCUAUAAAUGACCGGCAUCUUUUAAUCUCCCAAAGAGUUGGGUGUGACUUUCGGCCAGCGGCAUGAAAUUUCGGGGAGGUCUUUUUUUGAGGUUUGGGAGUGAAGGAUUAUAAUGGUUCUGAUCAGAAAAAAGGAGGCACUUGAUGGUAAUUUGGAGGCGCUUGGGCUUUUGUUCGGUUAUUUGGAAGGUUAUCUUGAACAUUAGGCUAAUAAUUCAGCUGUAGAACUUGGUAUUGGGGUAAAAUAUUUGGUUGUGAAGCUUGGUAUUGGGAUUGGAUAUUUGGAAGUGGAGCUUGGUAUUGGGAUUUGAUAAUUGAGAAUGGAGCUUGGUAUUGGGAAUGGACAUUUGGAAGAGGAUCAUGGUAUUGGGGUUGGGUGUAGAAUACAUGCUGAAAAUUUAGAGACGGAGGAGAAGAGAAAACGUUCCUAGGCUUGAAUUUAUUCUUCAAUUUAGCAACAGAAUCAGCAAAGACCACACCUACAUCUUUUUUUCUUCUUUGGGAAUAUAAAAAAACCCUUAUUAUGUUUGGGUUUUGACAAUCUUUCCUGUUUGAAUGCCUUCUUCUAGCGAUUCCCUCUCUUUCUCAAACAUGGAAGGUUGUACUUUGGCAGCUCUUUUUCUCCAACAGAAGGCAUAGUCUCAGAAGCACUUAUCAUUUUUCUGCUUGAUCCAGUCCAAUGAAUAUCGGUUAGGGACUAUUUCCAAAUUAAAUGCAAACCUUUCGAGGAAACCUUUAGCCAGUGCCCUCCAGCUAGCCCAUCCUUUUAGUUCUUAAUACGUAAACCAAUCUAAGGCUUCACCACUUAAGCUUUGGCUGAAUAAGCGCAUCAAUAAUGCCUUAUUUUUCCUACUACUACAAUUUGAUCGCAAUACCUUCUCAGAUGAGCUAUCGAAUUUCCAGUACCAUUGAACACCUCAAAUUUAAGGACCUUGUAUCCUUCUGGUAGAUCUACUCCAGGGGGAACACAUAGAUUAUCGUAGACUAGUCCAUCAUUUACCCCCGCCCCGUGAGAUUCCUUGAUCAUCAUAAUCUCUUCAUUUAGAGCCAAUAACUUUAUUUCAUGCUCAGUCUUCCACUCUUUUUCCUUCUCUUCAUAAUGGUCUAUCUCAGGAUUAGGAAGGAAAUCAUAGAUGUCAGGGGAUAUGAUGACAUGUGGAGAAUUUAUAAGGGUAGCUUGAUUUUGAGGAUGAAAGGAAGUUGGUUGGUAGUUCAAGAGUAGUUUGGUGGGAUUUGAGAAGGAUUUUGCAGAUUUGGAAAUGAAUUUUGUAGAUUUGAAGACGGAUUUUGUGGGGUUAGGGAUGGAUUUUAUGGAUGGUAAGAAUCUGGGUUAUUUUCUCGGUUGGUGUUUUGGACUAGUUGAGGAGUAGAGGCUGACGAUAUGUUAUUUGGAUGGUCCCCGAGAAUAAGCAUAUUAAGAGGAGGGAUCUUUAGUGGAGUCUCGUGUCCUCCUGGAGCGGGAGCAUUAACAGUGAUGGCCAGGUUAGCCAAAUCUCGAGUACGGUUCAUCUCCUAAUCUCGAGUAUGGUUCAUCUCCUCCUUAAGUAUUUCCAAUUUUCUCAUGAGUUCAACAAUCAUCUCACUUUGUUCUGCUAUUACAUUGUCAUCGAUGGUCAAUACAUUUUCUUCGUCACUCCCAGUUAUGCUUGAAUGAUGAUUAGGGGAUGGGAUCUUAUGCGCUUUUGAUCGGGUGAAGUAAGGAUGUUCUGCCAGCUUAUUUCAACACGGAUUAGUUUUCUAUUAGAUGUAAAGUAAAAUAACUCAAAGAAAGAUGUGUUAGUUUUCAUAUGUGAUAAGUAAUGCAAGGUAUUUGACAAGAAGUAACCACAUAGAGUUGUUGGUGCCAUAGACAAACUGAUCCAUGGGAGCAUAGUGGAUAAAUUUUUCUUACACUCAAACAAACACACAUAAACACCUAAAGUAGUUAUAUCACAUAAAUACUAUAAUAGCGCAUAUCCUAACUGGGGUGACCCUUUUUUAGCCAAAGGUUUGGGCCUAACAGAUUUUAAAGAAAAUAUAUGCCUUUUUAAAGCCAAUACAUUAUCCCCCAACUUUCAUUGAUAUGUAAAAGGGCAUAAAUUCCUACAAAAGAUAACAAAAGAGGGAUACAAUCUUUUGGAAAAAGAGAGAUAACAUGAAAGAAGAUAAGGUCCCACACAGGGGAAUAGAAACAUUAGCUACUGGAUGCUCCUUUGUUUGUUCUUGCCUUCUUAGCCUUAUUCACCUCCUAUGAUAUUUGAUACCUGUUGAUGAUUAGAUGACUCCCGCAUGAGUACACCUUGUUGUCGUAGGUUAUUCUUUCUAUACUAUCGAUUUGAGAAGCCAUGCUAUCAUCCAAAUUGAUUAAACACUGCCUAGCAUCAUUAGCCUCCUACCUGGCUCGCUUCAACUCUUCCCUCAACAUAUGCAUAGUCAAAACAUCCUCCAUAUGCAUCUGUUGGUGCGUAAUUUCACUUUUUUGAAAUUCAUCUUGAAGCCUGUGAAGUUGGAUUUAAUGCUCUGAUUCUAUAUCAAUAACCCGAGAGGGUACAUUCAGCCCCAGAAUCAAUGCUCUGGUGAGACUCUUCUUCAACCACUCCUUGUAAGUAUCGCUGGAUUCAAGUUCAUAAUUGAUACGGAAAGAGACUUCCUUCCACUUUCUUGUUCUCCAUCCAUUUACCAUGUAAUCUUUGAGCGGAGACUCGCUUUUAUCAUACUCACUGAAGAAUCUAAGCAUAGACGCGGUUUGGGGCGUCUCCUGCUUGAACUCGAAUUGCCUAAGAACUCUACCAAGAUUGUAAGGAUGGUUUCCCGUGAGACCUAGAAACACUAAAAAAGGCCACUCACCCUUUAUCGAAUGGUGUAUCUCCCUGAACGAAGAUAUUUAAUGGACUAUUGGACAUUGUCAUCCCAUAAUUCCCCAAAAGUCUUAAACCUAAAUUUUGGAGAUGCUUUCCUUUUGAACUUAUGCAAGAACAACCAUAUGUCGUGCGAUGAUAGAAGAUCCCCUCUUGUUUGAUGAUCAGGCUGUAUUGUUCUAGGAUUUUUCACUUAAUGCAUCAUCAUCCACCAUUGCAAGACAAUGUUACAUCAUUUGAGGAAAUAAUUAUCGGCUUUACACCUUCCCAAAGCUAAAUAUAUGUUGGCUACAAUCAUGGGAGAAAAGUUGUGGAAUACCUUUUUAGAUCCGUACUUUAUUCCAUAGAAGAGAGCGUGUGCAACCAUGAAAAUCUUGGAUGAAUUGUGUCAUUUUCCCCUUGUGGGAACACAAUUGUUCCAAGUAGGCCUACCACAAAUGCAAAUGCUGUUGUCUCCUUCUAUUUUGCUUCCGACUCAAAUUUAUGUCCGAACUUCUAAAAAACAUUCAACCUUCUGAACCAGCAAUACAACUCACAAAAAGGGAUGUUUGCCCCAUCAUGUUCCCCUAGUGUGUCAGCAUUAAUUAAAAAUACCUUCUUAAUCUCUUGACGAUCCUUUACAAUCGGGACUAGAAUUCUUAAUAGGUGUCGCUUUUCUCUAAAAACACAUUUCAGUAGACUCAAAACAAACUAACACCUCUUUAAUGGUGGGAGUCAAUUCAACAUCCCUGAAGCAAAAUACCAUAUUCUGAUCAUCCCAAAUGGUUGUCAGUACAUGGAUCAUUUCAGGCCAAACAUCCAUCUCGAUCAACAAAGACAAAUGCCUGAUAUCUGUUCUAACAAUCUUUCUUUAUUCUCCGCUUAUGUAAUACCACCAUAGUUUCAGAAAAUUGUGGGGUCCGGUAACCAUCUAGAACUUUUUGCGAGAAUGCAGUUGAGCCAUAUCCUACACAAAAGUAAACAAAGAUGAGCCUCUCCCCGACCCCAAAGGAUGAUGGAUUAGAUAAAACAAACAUAUAUUUUCUUCAACACAUAAAUAUGAUUCGUCCGUAAUUGAAUUGGGGUCAAUAGAUGCAGGGCAAGUUUUUAAUGGGCCCAAUACUUCCCUUAGGUAUUGGUAACGUCCUAGCCUCAUACCUAAAAAUAGGGUUUUGGUUUCGCUCUAUCCUUGGUGUCUAGAGUGGGUUUGAGCUAGGUUUCCAAGCGGAAGACUUGGGUUUGGAAAUACGAAUAGCCAUCAGAUGACUCAUGUGCUAAUAAACCAUCGUAUUUCCAACACUUUAUUUGGAAUUGAACAACAGGGGCCGGGACAUCCACGAAACCCCAAACAAAUUUAAUAGAUUAAUGCAGGAUCAUGGUAUGAGAUGCAAUAAUUAAGUAUCGCAAAAUCAAACAUAUAAAUACAUAAACAGUUAAUGAAAAGAUGAAAUCAAAUAUUUGGUUAGAACUUAGUGAAAAAAUACCCAGUGGAGUCGCCAUUUCUGUUUAGUGGAAAUUUUAACUUUUUUAGAGUCGACACUUGAUUUUGGAAAGGAAAUAAGAAACCUUCACGAUACUUAAAACGAUCCAAAACAGAAAAAUAAUUUAAAUUUAAAGAUUCUGAUAAGCGAUUUCUAUUAACAUUUUAGGAAGGUUUUACGGCAUCUAAAGCGUCCGCUAACAUGCGGUUAUCCGGACUGUUUGAAAACAUGUUUUGACUAACUUCCAAAAGAUUGAUUUGUUCAAAAAGCGAUUGAUUUUUUCUUUAGAAAAGACUUGUAUAAAAUAAAUUUAGGUGACUUAGUAGGGAUUUUAACUAAGUCUAAACAAAACUAAUAAAUAAAUAAACACAUAAAAGGGGAAAGGGAGGAGAAAGUAAAGAUUUAGGCCAUUGGGCCCAAAUCAACGAAACCUGUCCUAAUCUAGAUAGGAAAAAAAUACAUAAAGCAGCAUACUUAAGUAUUAAAUUACAAAAAAUAACAACACUUUUUUCAAAUUAUAUUUUGUAGCAUAUGUAUUUCUAUGUAUUUGUAUUUUUGUAGCAACAAUUUGUAAAAAUACAAAAUACAUAUCGAAUAUAAGAGCAGUAAAAAUCAUAUGUAUUUGUAUAUUUGUAGCAAUAGUUUGCAAAAAUACAAAAUACAACUUGCUAUAUUAUGUAAUUAUGAAACUAUUGCUAUGAAACUCAUAAUUAAGGGGAUAAGUAUGUUAUUUCUGAAUUUUGCCCAUCUAUAUAUUGGGACCUUGGCCCAUAACCUGUCCUAGUCUAAUUUUUGAACCUUUGGCUCGAGUUUCACUUUACCUGUAUUAAAUACAACUUUGGCUUCGAGGCCCAAAUGAGUGAAUAAAUAAAUAAAAUAAAUAACAACAACAAUAAAAAUGAAUAAAUAAAUAAAUGAAACUUUCAAGUCUCUUAGCCGCUUCGAGGAUGAGACUUUAACCCAUUUUCCUUCUUUUGACUCCUUGUAUCUGUAUUUAAUUUGACUUUAGGCUUUUUUUGGCUUGACUCAGAAAGUAGGCCUUAUUGGCCCAUUAUGAAUAUGCAAAAAGGGAAGAGUCCGUUUGGGACUCGAAUGAUGUCCAUGCAUAGAAAAAAUAAAUAAAGUAAACAUUAAUACAUAAUCGACAGAGUAAAAGAAGUCAACCUAUGAUCAAACUAAAUAGGAAAACUAAAAUAGUUAAUACAUGAUCAACCAAGGAGGAACGAAAAUGUAAAGAAAAUUUGUUCAUAUUAACUACAUAAGUAAAGAAACAAGGAUCCAAAAUUGAAAAAAAAAUGGAGAUAAUAAGACACACAUAUCAACUCAAAAAAUAGGCACAAUCAAGGUAGGAGAAUUAAAGUAACUAACGUGGGAUCAACAUAAUGAAGGAAGAGGAUACAUUGAACCCAAUACCUAAUCGACUAAGAAAAUAACAUGACAUGGAUAUUUAAUAAUUAAAAAUCAAUUAGUGAAUAACGAGAUAUGCUCGUAAGAGCAAAACAAUAACAUGGAGGAGUGGCAGGUAUCCAAGUAGUAACGGAAAUAGAAAUUGAAUUAAUUUCUAGACUAAAAUUUAAGAAGACAUUAGCGGGGCUAGAGGGACAUUUUCUGGGACUCUGAGAGGCAACCUUUGAGAAAGAAUUCUCAGACUUUAUUUGUAAGAAAAAUUAAGUAGCAACAACUACUGAACGACCAAAGCUUUUCUUUUUGGACUUGAAAUGAUAUAAAGAUCAAUCGCGUCAUUGUGGUAGCGAAGUCAUUACUUCACAAAAAAAAAGAAGGGAAAACAACCUUUCGAGAUGUAAAUCUCACCGUAAUGAACUCUUUUCGGUAUGUGAAGUUAUAGGGUGAUUAUUGCAUGAUAAUCGAACAAAACAAGCAAGGGCAGGAAAACACUUGAGGAUCCCGAAUGCUCCAAAGGAAAGAUUGGCAGUAGACCCUCGAAGAUGGAAGUAGACAACCGUGAUACUCUACUCCACAUUUCGACCUAGCUUUCGAGAGUAAAAUGGAUAUGACUUCAUCCCUCCUUUCUUGACCAAGAAGAUCAUCGGGAAUCUUUAAUCUUAACACAAAUUACAUACAUAGUGCAACAACAAAAUUGAAAUAUCCUUUUUGAACAGGCAUAGUUCAACAGGGCAAUAUCGCAUUUACCAUUCUAACAAAAAUCCAAACUGGACAAAAAUUCAAAAGAAAAACGAAAAUCAAAUUUCAAUUUUUUGAUACCAAAAUAGGCGCAACUGACAAAUUAAAGAAAGGGGAGUGGCAGGGGAUAUUAUUCUCAUCCUCACCCUCUUUCUGAUAGACUCAAAUAAAAUGACCGUCGAGAGAUAGUCCUACUAGCGACAUUGCGACACCGUCUACAAAUGAUAGCAUACAAGAUAACGUCAAAAAACAUCUACGAUUAAGACCUCAUCAGGAUGGAAACCAUUAAGCAAGAAUCAAAACAUAGACCUUAACCAUGAAAAUAGUGACCCAACCUACAAACAGCAACAAUGAAAAAAAUGACCUGAACUACAAACAGUGCACCAGAUGAGGACCUAGAUAAAAAAUUACUCGAUAUUGUCAAGAUUACAUGACCAACUAAAAAAUCGAGACAAUGAUGACAGAAAACCACAUAUUAUAAUAGGAAAUAACCCUAGCAAAACAAAACUAAGUAUCCUUCUUCACUAAAGAGAAACCUAUGACCUAUAAAGCCUUUACAGCAAACAACCCAGCACACCACAUCACUAAAAGAAACCUACAACUUCAAAAGGUUAAGAUAUAGAAGAAAUAGUCGAAAGCUUAAACGGAAUGGGAUAUUACCUAUUCAGGAGCAGCAAAAUAGAAUCUCAAACUUUUUGGAAUCGAUCGCCUCCAAAAUACGUUGUCCUCGAUUCAGAAAUUUCAAUUUCCUACCAAAUUUUGGAGAAAAAAAAAGAAGAAAAAUAGAAAAAAUUUGCAUAAAUUUCUACUAAAAGAAGACUGUAUCUGCUUUUCUUUUGCUCGAAGGCUCCCCUUUUUUGUAUUUGAGAUUUUCUCUCUUGUAAUUUUUGCUUCUCACCUCCAAAAAAUUCCCAACCCUGAAAAUUGCUCCACGUUGAGCUAUUUAUAGAAAGGUGUAUGGGUGUAAUUUAGGGAUUUCUAAAAUAGGAAAUUUUGAAAUUCAAAAGUCGAAUCCCUCCUCCGCUUCGGUUUACAUCCACGAUGUCUAUGAAUUUUUUGAAUUCUUUGGCAAAAAUUGAAAAUGUUUGACCAAUAAAAUUUGGGAAAAACAAAUUGUCCUAAAAAACCGAAUGAGAUUCAUUCAAAUAUGUACGAAAUCGUACCAUUUCAUCUGAGAAUCGCGAAUUCAAACCGUUGGGGAGACAACUCAUCAAAUUCUAGAAAUUUCUUGGCUUUUCUCGUAUGAAUUCGAGUGGGACGGGUGGAGAGGAUUAGAAUGGGUCGAUUGCGGGUUGUGCUGGGUCGGGUCACCGUUGAAGCCAGAGUAUUGCUUGUUGGAUUGUCUUCAUUGGUGUCUUAUCAGGUUGAAACCAUUGUGGGUAUUUCUGAUAAUGUUG
rnacentral:lncRNA from 1 species